rnacentral:rRNA from 1 species
AGAGUUUGAUCCUGGCUCAGAUUGAACGCUGGCGGCAGGCCUAACACAUGCAAGUCGAGCGGUAGCACAAGAGAGCUUGCUCUCUGGGUGACGAGCGGCGGACGGGUGAGUAAUGUCUGGGAAACUGCCUGAUGGCGGGGGAUAACUAGUGGAAACGGUAGCUAAUACCGCAUAACGUCGCAAGACCAAAGUGGGGGACCUUCGGGCCUCACGCCAUCAGAUGUGCCCAGGUAGGAUUAGCUGGUAGGUGGGGUAACGGCUCACCUAGGCGACGAUCCCUAGCUGGCCUGAGAGGAUGACCAGCCACACUGGAACUGAGACACGGUCCAGACUCCUACGGGAGGCAGCAGUGGGGAAUAUUGCACAAUGGGCGCAAGCCUGAUGCAGCCAUGCCGCGUGUGUGAAGAGGGCCUUCGGGUUGUAAAGCACUUUCAGCGAGGAGAAAGGGUAAUGUGUUAAUAAGACAUUGCAUUGACGUUACUCGCAGAAGAAGCACCGGCUAACUCCGUGCCUGCAGCCGCGGUAAUACGGAGGGUGCAAGCGUUAAUCGGAAUUACUGGGCGUAAAGCGCACGCAGGCGGUUUGUUAAGUCAGAUGUGAAAUCCCCGCGCUCAACGUGGGAACGGCAUUUGAGACUGGCAAGCUAGAGUCUUGUAGAGGGGGGUAGAAUUC